rnacentral:lncRNA from 1 species
GGGAAGAGAGACAAGACUAGAGAGAAACCGAGUUAUGGAUUAAGAGUCUGUUUGUAAUCAGUUUUGAGCUAUUUUCUAAUUAGUAAGAUUGAGAGUUAUUCGAUCUAAAUUCUCUUAUUCAUCUUUUCUAUUCGGUUUGAUUAUCGACUAGGACUUGAAUUGAUAUCAGAGCCAAGUUCAAUCGUCGAUAUAAAACGAGUACCUGGGUUCUUAAUCGGCGGCUAAGAAGUCUAACGGGUUGGCGAUCGAGAAGGUCAGGAUUAGUGGUACUUGUUCGUCGGAGCAGUGGCGUAGGUACUAUUACAAAGGCGGGCAACGAGUAGGUUGUUUGUACGACGGAAAUCGAUAAGCGGAACCAGGUGGGUUCUGCUCGGAUUGGUUUCGGCAACACUCUCGGGUUCAAACUAGGUCGUCAGAGUUUUCGUUCCAAGCGGCGAUGGUAACUAAAACAUCAGACGACGUUAAUUCCACGCUGUCGUACGGUGUAAAUCGAAACAAAAAGAAGUCAAAAGGAAUUAACCGUUUUCUUUUGUAUUUUCUUCCAUAACAACGUUUAAAACAAAAAAAAAUAUAAACACGUUGGUUUAAUUAAUUAAUUUUGAUUAUUUUUUUGGUUUAAACUAAGUUUGAGUUUAAACAUUAAACGUUAUUUGG